GCACUUGGUGAGGGCAUCCUGCAGGAAUGAAAACUGACUCUCCAAGUCUUUGCUCAAAUGUCCAAGGUUCAAUCCCUAAAAUAGUAAGCGUGCACAUCUUGAGUUUAUUAAAUAAAAUGUGAUCCUUGUUAUUGAGGAAAGAUAACGAACAGGGUAAAUUACUAACCGAAUUCUUCCUUCAGUUUUCUCUUGUGCUCCAAAGUUAAGUAGAAGCUCUGGUCAUGGAUUGGAUGAAAAACCUGAUCAACCGGACAACAGAAAGUGUGCCUAAAUUCCUUUGCAUGCUUUAAAAGAUACUCACUCAACUUGGGUACAUCUUCCCUUCUGAAAAUGUCCCACAAUGCACCUCCAGUUGUCUCUGAAUCAUCAAAGGUUUUCUCCUCCCUGCUAAUGUCACUAGACAUCUUCAUAGGAUAUUUAUCAGCCUCGCAUUCGAUGCGCUCUCUUUCAUCCUGAGCUCUAUGCAUCUGUUUCACUAUUUCAAUUGCCGACCGCUGCUCAUCAGUUAUAGCCAUCUCUGCUGUGUGUGUCAAAAUAUUUAUCUGAGCAAUUCAAAAUUUUAAAAUAUUAGCUUGUCAUGAAAUAAGCCUGAAAAAGUAAUGGUUGCAGUCUUUGCAGGCUUCAUCAUGGACAGAAUACAGAACUGGGAAAAGCAGUAAACUGCUACCAAGGUGAGAAUAAACAUUAAACUAGAUUGUGGUAUGUGGAUUAAUUUACCGGGAAUGUGACAAUUGUCGAACAUAUUGUAUAGGACUGGCCAUAAGGCAGAAGAGAUUGGACGAAUGUGGUUCUAUAUAUUUGAAAUAAAAUUUUAGUUUUUUUUGCUCAUUUUGGAAUUUUCCUACAAUUGAGAUACCUUCUUGCCAAGGUCCUUGUCGAUUUGGUUAUAGUUUUU
rnacentral:lncRNA from 1 species